rnacentral:rRNA from 1 species
GCAGGCCUAACACAUGCAAGUCGAGCGGUAGCACAGAGAGCUUGCUCUCGGGUGACGAGCGGCGGACGGGUGAGUAAUGUCUGGGAAACUGCCUGAUGGAGGGGGAUAACUACUGGAAACGGUAGCUAAUACCGCAUAACGUCGCAAGACCAAAGUGGGGGACCUUCGGGCCUCAUGCCAUCAGAUGUGCCCAGAUGGGAUUAGCUAGUAGGUGGGGUAACGGCUCACCUAGGCGACGAUCCCUAGCUGGUCUGAGAGGAUGACCAGCCACACUGGAACUGAGACACGGUCCAGACUCCUACGGGAGGCAGCAGUGGGGAAUAUUGCACAAUGGGCGCAAGCCUGAUGCAGCCAUGCCGCGUGUGUGAAGAAGGCCUUCGGGUUGUAAAGCACUUUCAGCGGGGAGGAAGGCGGUGAGGUUAAUAACCUCAUCGAUUGACGUUACCCGCAGAAGAAGCACCGGCUAACUCCGUGCCAGCAGCCGCGGUAAUACGGAGGGUGCAAGCGUUAAUCGGAAUUACUGGGCGUAAAGCGCACGCAGGCGGUCUGUCAAGUCGGAUGUGAAAUCCCCGGGCUCAACCUGGGAACUGCAUUCGAAACUGGCAGGCUAGAGUCUUGUAGAGGGGGGUAGAAUUCCAGGUGUAGCGGUGAAAUGCGUAGAGAUCUGGAGGAAUACCGGUGGCGAAGGCGGCCCCCUGGACAAAGACUGACGCUCAGGUGCGAAAGCGUGGGGAGCAAACAGGAUUAGAUACCCUGGUAGUCCACGCCGUAAACGAUGUCGAUUUGGAGGUUGUGCCCUUGAGGCGUGGCUUCCGGAGCUAACGCGUUAAAUCGACCGCCUGGGGAGUACGGCCGCAAGGUUAAAACUCAAAUGAAUUGACGGGGGCCCGCACAAGCGGUGGAGCAUGUGGUUUAAUUCGAUGCAACGCGAAGAACCUUACCUGGUCUUGACAUCCACAGAACUUAGCAGAGAUGCUUUGGUGCCUUCGGGAACUGUGAGACAGGUGCUGCAUGGCUGUCGUCAGCUCGUGUUGUGAAAUGUUGGGUUAAGUCCCGCAACGAGCGCAACCCUUAUCCUUUGUUGCCAGCGGUUAGGCCGGGAACUCAAAGGAGACUGCCAGUGAUAAACUGGAGGAAGGUGGGGAUGACGUCAAGUCAUCAUGGCCCUUACGACCAGGGCUACACACGUGCUACAAUGGCAUAUACAAAGAGAAGCGACCUCGCGAGAGCAAGCGGACCUCAUAAAGUAUGUCGUAGUCCGGAUUGGAGUCUGCAACUCGACUCCAUGAAGUCGGAAUCGCUAGUAAUCGUAGAUCAGAAUGCUACGGUGAAUACGUUCCCGGGCCUUGUACACACCGCCCGUCACACCAUGGGAGUGGGUUGCAAAAGAAGUAGGUAGCUUAACCUUCGGGAGGGCGCUUACCACUUUGUGAUUCAUGACUGGGGUGAAGUCGUA